CUAGGAGUACCGAAAACAGUUCUAGACUGACCUGCGGUUUUAUAGCACUUUGGCAGUCAACUUCAGCUUGUGUUAGAGCAGACACGACAGAGCUGCCCAGCGCUUAAUCGCGGGACGCCACAUCCUCGGGCUCACUGCAAACCACCACCACCACCCCCACCUUCUUGCAUUUCAAUAAAUUUCAAACCCUUGGGCUAGAAGUGGGGAGCGGAGCUG
rnacentral:lncRNA from 14 species